rnacentral:misc_RNA from 1 species
UGGCCGUUGUUCCAGGUCAGCGUGACCGGAGUGGUCGGCGUCAGCGAACCUGCGCCUUCCUGUUUCCAGACGGUGUCCUUGUCCGGCAUCUUCGUUGUCGCGCCUGCGGCCGGCACGAAACCGAACUCGGCGUAGAAGGGNACGGCGAGAACAGUUCAAUGGCUGGCGAUUUCGGAUCGACGGUCUCGCGAUAUUUCACCAG